AGAGUUUGAUCAUGGCUCAGAACGUACGCUGGCGGCACCCCUAACACAUGCAAGUCGAACGAAGUAGCAAUACUUAGUGGCAGACGGGUGAGUAACAUGUAGGGUAUCUGCCCUUUGGCCUGGAAUAACACGAGGAAACUUGUGCUAAUACCGGAUAAGUCUUUACGGAGAAAGCUUUAUGCCACCAUUGGAUGAGCCUGCACUUGAUUAGUUUGUUGGUGGGGUAAUGGCCUACCAAGACUGUGAUCAAUAGCUGAUUNGAGAGGAUGAUCAGCCACAUUGGGACUGAGACANGGCCCAAACUCCUACGGGAGGCAGCAGUGGGGAAUCUUNCACAAUGGAGGAAACUCUGAUGCAGGCGAU
rnacentral:rRNA from 1 species